rnacentral:rRNA from 1 species
UACGAAGGGGGCUAGCGUUGCUCGGAAUCACUGGGCGUAAAGCGCACGUAGGCGGAUCUUUAAGUCAGGGGUGAAAUCCCAAGGCUCAACCUUGGAACUGCCUUUGAUACUGGGGAUCUCGAGUCCGGAAGAGGUGAGUGGAACUGCGAGUGUAGAGGUGAAAUUCGUAGAUAUUCGCAAGAACACCAGUGGCGAAGGCGGACUCACUGGUCCGGUACUGACGCUGAG